rnacentral:rRNA from 1 species
UGCGUAGGUGGCGGGGUAAGUCGGAUGUGAAAGCUCGGAGCUCAACUCCGAAAUGGCAUUGGAAACUACCUUGCUCGAGGGUUGGAGGGGGGACUGGAAUUCUCGGUGUAGCAGUGAAAUGCGUAGAUAUCGAGAGGAACACCAGUGGCGAAGGCGAGUCCCUGGACAACUCCUGACACUGAGGCACGAAAGGCUAGGGGAGCAAAACA